rnacentral:tRNA from 1 species
GGGCGUUGACUGAGCGGUUGAAGGUGGAUGUCCCUGUGAAACCACUGGCGGCGCGAACACAGGGUCAGUGGUGGAGGACAUCCAGUCCGUCAAGGGCUCAAGGGUUCGAAUCCCUUACGUCCUG